ACCAUAUGGGAAGUAUUCUCAAAGGUAGGAAAAAGGCCCAACACUGUACAUCCCUACACCACGCUCAUGAUGAAAAUGGGCACAUUUAGUAGAUGAAAUAUCAAGAACCACCUAACUUUGGAAAUCAAUCAUAUCAUGGGUAGAAAAUUACCCAAACCGAACCUUGGAAAAAUCUCACAAGGAGUGGGUUAGUUAUCCAAUAAGCCUAGCAUAGGUGGGUGUGUGAAGUACCUAGCCUACUAGGGAAGUUCGGCCCACAAAUGUGAAGGUGGCCUGAGCUGACUGGGUGUGUGAAGAACGAGGAGGGACGCCUCUAAGGAAGUUCGGCCGAAGAAGCAAGGAUGGCAAUAAACAAAAAAAAAAAACCCUAAACCUUAAACCCCUUAACCCCCCAAGUGGGUGAGUUGCUACUAGAUCACAUAAGAACUCCGGACUUAAAGAAACCUUGGGCUGGAGCAGUCGAAGGAUGGGUGACCAUAUAGGAAAUAUUGUCAAAGGUAGGAAAAAGGCCCAACACUGUACAUCCCUACAUUAUGCUCACGAUGAAAAUGGUCACAUUUAAUAGAUCAAAUAUCAAGAACCACCUAACUUUGGAAAUCAAUCCUAUCAUGGGUAGAAAUUACCCAAACCGAACGCUGGAAAAUCUCACAAGGAGUGGGUUAGUUAUCCAAUAAGCCUAGCAUAGGUGGGUGUGUGAAGUAUCUAGGCCACUAGGAAAGUUCGGCCCACAAAUGUGAAGGCGGCCUAUGCUGACUGGGUGUGUGAAGUACGAGGACGGACGCCUCUAAGGAAGUUCGGCCCAAGAAGCAAGAAUGGUGGGGAAAAAAAAAAGAAAAACCCUAAACCCUAAACCCUAAGAAAAAAUCUUAAUUUAGUAUUCAUAGCUCAUCCGGUGAAUAUAGUGUAGGAAAUAU
rnacentral:lncRNA from 1 species